rnacentral:tRNA from 1 species
UUCCCCGUAAUUUAAUGGUAAAAUUUACAUCUGAUAAGUGUGGUAUGGUAGUUCGAUUCUAUCCGGGGGUA